GCCUGGAAGUUUCUGGAGCCUGGAAGUCUGAGAACAGGACACCAGCAUGAUGGGUUCUGAUGCUUUCUGCUGGAACUCCAGAAGCUACUAAGUAUUAGAACUCAUCCUGUCAUUCUUCAGAGUCUAAUAGUUCCCAACACCAAGUGGGUGCUUAAAAAGUGUUUGAUGGAAGAACAGUUACACUAGUUCCAGCUCCGGGGAAGCUUUUGGUGAAACACGCAGGAGAAGUGAAGGUCUAGAAGACUCUGUGAGCCCACAGGGUCCCUGAAACCAUCCUUGCUCAGACGGCUGGAGUCCAACAGCCCUCAGAAAGGGCGGGCACCAUCUAUAAUUUAAAAGGACUUUGCACCAGGGACACAAAAUGAGACUACAGCUGUUUCCAGUUCUCUCAGUGCCUCCAGGAAAUUAUUUUCUGAUGCAUUCCUCUAAGAAAAUCAUGUCAUUUCCUUAUUGCUGCUUAAUUAUU